CUGCAGACCAUGAUGGGACCUGCUGCAUUAAUGGCACUGAUAGCCUCCAUCCUUCCUUGUUUCUAGCCAUGACCAGACUUCUCAAUAUUGGGUUAUCAGAGCAUGGGCCCAUCAGUCAUGAUGAUGGAUUUAUGGGUGAAGAGACAUCUUGGAAGGAGAUAUGGUAAGUUUACCAGGGGAGUGGUGGGAAGUCCCUGGGAAGAUAAUAA
rnacentral:lncRNA from 1 species